AUUAUUGCUCUUGGGGCAAUGACGCAGUUAGUAAUGUACUAACCGAGACGCGUUUAUUGCUGGUUGAAAAUUAUUUUUAAACCUAUUUUUCGGUCUGAAUUAUGUUUAGGCCGUAGAGAAUUUCUGGAAGAGUCUCUCACA
rnacentral:snRNA from 1 species